AAGAAAGCAGUGUGGGCGCUCGGCGUGGCCAUGCCCCCGCCUCGCCUCUCCCUCGCCCUCCCCUCCAACAUGUCACUGCCAUAGUGGACCCGUCCUACGCUCCCCUCACGUUGCCCGCCCCCACCCCAGCCACCGUCGCGCCGCCCCGUUCUCCCCAUCCUCAGCACUCCGCUACACGCCCGCCGCAGCCCGACGCCCCGUGCUCGACGACUCCCCCUCCAUCCUCUCGCCGAGGCUGCCCUCGUCCUCCCCCACACCCACUGCAUCGCCCGAAUCUGCGCUCGCGAUGUCUUCACUUCCCCUCGCGCCGCCGUUUCCUCUGCAUCACUAGCCAUGUCGCCGACUUGCCUAGGACGGAGCCCGUCCGACCAACCAUGCCAGGCACCACGCCGUCCCCUCAGCGUCGUCCUCUCCACGGUGUGGUCGGCCGUCUCGAAGCCCUCGCGUCCCCUAGCCCAUGCACCCGCCUCGGAUGCCCCAACUGCCCAAACGCCAUGCCCCCGCCUCACCGUCCCCUCUGCGCAGCCGCGCAGUCGAGGUGCGACCGACCGUGGAGGAGCCCUCGCGACCCCUAGCCCAACCAGCCAUGGGCCCCCAUCGUUUCCCCUUCCGCGCAGCCAGGGCCCCAAAUUUGGCAAUGCACCAUCCCCCCCAACAAUCGUGCUCGAUCUGGCAAUUGCGUGCAUGAUAUCCGCCGCUGAUUUGGAAAGCGCACGAUCUACAACGAUGAUUUGGAAAGUGCCUUGCCAAACGAUUCCAACACAAAUCCCCCAAAUCGUGCACCCAUCAUCAUUAAAAAGGUCGCAAUUGCCAGACUGCUACAACCAUCCUACAGCUACGGAAAUCCUUCGCUCACACUCCUCCAGGUGAAGACAGUUACCUUCCCUUUGCAAUCCAACCAUAUAUAGAGAUCAACGUCAAAAGGAACCUCAGGCUUUGUAAACGACUAACUUAAAUCGGCGAGGUUCAGGAAGCAUAUUUGAGACGUUGCGGCUCGGCAAACCGCUUAUCGUCGUCAUAAACAAGGAUCUGAUGGACAAUCACCAGAGCGAACUAGCAGAAGAAUUGGCUGAAAGGAAGCACCUCUUCUGUGCACGCCCACAAACACUGGGAGAGACCAUCCGAGCGAUGGACCUGGAGACGCUGGUUCCUUACGAGCCAGGGGAUGCCAAGCCAGUCGUCGCCCUGAUCAACAGGUUUCUUGGCUUCCCAGUUGGUUGACAAACAAACCAUGAGAUACCUCCAUUAAGGCGUCAGUUCCUGUACCUGUUUGAUGUAAAAUGAAUUAACUGGCAUGGAAACAACAAGACUGUCCUUGAUUGUUGCAGUUGGGUUUAAUUAGGGGGGCGUCCAUUCGUUGUUCUUGUCAUGCCCGCCCUUGACACGAGAAGACAAUAGUAUUAAACUUGUCAAUUUCUGGAAUGAUGUGUGGUUGGAUGGCAUCGCUGAAGCCAAUAAUACUUUAAGAUCGUGAGAGGCCCGAAGAAGACGGAAGUCACGUCACCCUUUUUCAUAGUUCAAUAGUCAGGGCAGUCAAUAAUACCAGGGCUUGAUUCAAGAAGGUGCAAAGCUGCUGGUCAGGGCAGCGAGCGUUAAGUUGGAUGCUCGUGUUGUCGAUCAAGUGGAAGAGGAGAACGAUGAUACAGAGAACUAAAAGUUUGGUAUAGUGAUCAGCUUUCUGGUGGAAGCCCGACGAGGAUUGUCUACUUCUAGAUCUUGGUCGUAUAGCUUUGUUCUACUUCUCUUGUGUUGCUCUUGUUCGAGUAUAAGGUCUACAAUGACAUAAUGCUUGUACCAUCUUUUUUGUGGUAACUUAUUUUUUCUCAUGCAGUGCAUGUGACUUGAAACUUUGUUAGGACAUAGUUUGUGAAAGGGAAAAUGGACCCAACAUUUCCUAUAGUC